rnacentral:lncRNA from 1 species
UGGAAAAAAAAAAACUCCGGUAACAAUUUCCACAGCAAUAGUUAUACAAUUGAGAUUACUGAGAUGGACCAAAUUGAGGCCAAUACAAAUUCGGAUGAAACUCAAAAAUGAUUCCAACAGCUAUAGCAACAAAUUUCGAAUUCACAAGCCCAAAAACGAACAAACCGUGUAGCAUAAAUUUGAACAUCCCUUUAAUCCUUUUUCAAUUUCUUUUGAAAUUUUCUGGAUCUGAAAUUUGACUUGCCAACUUCCUCUCUCAACAAGAUCAAGCGUGUGUGUGACUGAGUGUUUUUCUGUGGUUUUUCAAGAAGAAUAAGGAGGCGACAUGGCGCUGUGUUUCAAGGAUCUAGCGUCUGAUUGAUUUUUUGAAGAUGAUAGAUGAGGAAGAAGGUCCAAAGGCCGUUUGCUCUCUAUGUAAG